rnacentral:lncRNA from 1 species
AUGGAGGGAAAGCGUCUUGUUAUUGUGUCGUUUCUGUGGAUGCUGCCACGGGGACUGAAUGGCACAGUGACACUUCAACCUAACCUCCACUCUACCAACUUCAGAAGCAGUGAAGUUACUGCAACUUCGGACAAUAAAGUUUCACUCUUAGAAAUGGCUCAAGAGCCCCUCAACAACGCACCGGAUGAAGGACAACAUAGCACUGUAGCAUCUUCAGUUGAGUUGAAGCUCACAGUGAAAAGUGAACCACAGACUUCAGACCAGGUGUCGACCAGAAACAUUCUCAGCCACGAUCGGCCUUCAAUGCAGCCUUUGCGUAUGAGCACAAAGAGGAACUCCCAGUCACCUCAGGACCGCCAAACAACCAGAUAUAAAAACAAGUCUACGGUGGAGAUCACAGCAGAUGGAGCCCGGGAAACUUCGCCCGCUAUGUGGAAUCAACCUCUGGUAAGGCAAGUUACACCCUCCGGCAAGGACGAAGUUAGUCCAACAGCAUCACCUAGACCUUCUGAGUUGUCCACUCAAACAAACUCACCGACACCAAAUCAACCAACAGAGAUCCAAACGGGGCCUAUUCCGUCCAAUUCUCCAAUUUCGCAGUCCAAUGACUCCACAGGCAGGAACCGACCCACGCCAACUGUUGUUGAAUUUGGAGUGACACCGACUAGAGCGGAAUAUACUUUGAACACAGGUGGAGAGGCUCAACUAUCCAGGACCGCCUCCCAGGCCCCAGUCACAAGCAGGAGAUCAACCCCUUCACACCCCACUGAAAGAGGUCCAACAGGCCCAUCUGAGCUGCCUAGUGCUGCCACUUCCCCCACCACCCUACCUCCAACUACAGCCAUGACCAAAUCUUCAACCCACGUCUCCACUCCAUGGACGUCGACCAAGCCUGCCAAGACCCUUGCCACCACUGAAGCCUCUGUUACUUCUAGUGUUGACGUUACCAGCAGCAAGGGUCAAUCCACACCAAUGGUCCCCACUAAAAAAGAAGUUGCCACUGCCACCACCACGGCAAAAAAGAAACCAAAGCCUCCGACAAAAACUGCAAACAAAGACGAGCGAAAAAAUACGGGGAACCAUGGCUCAGCGGUGGCUGUACUGAUUGGUGGGACGCUGUUCAUGAUGCUGGUGGGUUUCGGGGUCAUCUUCGUGAGGAAGCAAAGACAACAGAGGAUCCAGCUGAAGAAUACAGCCUGGGCAGGCCCCUCUCCGUUUCUGGACGGUAGAGUCCAGUCUCAACAGGAUUAUGACGAUAGUGGUGAUGUCCAUCUGAGGGGCUCCAAUGGAAUCUCCUUCUCUGGCUUCCUGUCUCAGCAACUCUCCAAGAGGUUCUCUCUGAUCCAGGAUACUAACCAGGAAUUCCAGAUGGGUGAGAUUCCGUCAGGAAGUACAUUCGGAAGAGAGACUGUUUCAGAUUGUUAA